rnacentral:lncRNA from 1 species
AAAGGAUUCCAAGCCUGCUGGAGGGCCAAGGAAACAUACUUCGAACUCUUGUUGGGACCGCGUGACAGAGGCUCCCUACAGCUGAGUGGAGCUGGCCUGAACUUUGGACCUUGCCUUCCAGUAGGAAUCAGUAUCUCAGCCCCACAGGAGCUGAUCAUGGCCUCCAAGCAAGAGAAGAGGGUGGCCUCCUCUGUCUUCAUCACCCUGGCCCCCCCACGCAGAGAUGUGGCAGUGACUGAGGAAGUGACCCAGGCAGUUUGUGAAGCCCGACGUGCUCGACCCUGGGAGACCCUUCCCACAAAGACACCUGGGGCUGCAGUGGGCAGGAGCCCCAAGACCUGGACGCCCUCUGGCAGGACCACUGCCUCACUCCCUGAAGUCCCACCUCAGCUCUCCAAUGG